rnacentral:rRNA from 1 species
AGUGAACGCUGGCGGUAGGCCUAACACAUGCAAGUCGAACGGCAGCACAGUAAGAGCUUGCUCUUACGGGUGGCGAGUGGCGGACGGGUGAGGAAUACAUCGGAAUCUACUUUUUCGUGGGGGAUAACGUAGGGAAACUUACGCUAAUACCGCAUACGACCUACGGGGGAAAGCAGGGGAUCUUCGGACCUUGCGCGAUUGAAUGAGCCGAUGUCGGAUUAGCUAGUUGGCGGGGUAAAGGCACACCAAGGCGACGAUCCGUAGCUGGUCUGAGAGGAUGAUCAGCCACACUGGAACUGAGACACGGUCCAGACUCCUACGGGAGGCAGCAGUGGGGAAUAUUGGACAAUGGGCGCAAGCCUGAUCCAGCCAUACCGCGUGGGUGAAGAAGGCCUUCGGGUUGUAAAGCCCUUUUGUUGGGAAAGAAAAGCAGCAGGUUAAUACCCCGCUGUUCUGACGGUACCCAAAGAAUAAGCACCGGCUAACUUCGUG